AGAGAACAUACCAAAACCUAGCGUUUUCUCUCACAAGUCAUUUUUUCCCACCAUGAUUCGAUCUCAAUCUUUGCAUCAUUUACUUCAAUCUGUAACUAAUUUCUUCGAUCUAUAAGUACUUUCUUUUUUUAAUCUCAACUGUGAGCCAUCUUUUUCUUGAAUCUUAAACUGUACCUUUUUGUAUUUCGUUUUGUAAUAGUAGAAAAAAGAUGGAAACCCAUUUUGUUUCCUCAUCAGUAAAGAAGAGUAACACAGAUAUCAACAGUGAAGACGUUUUGAAUUCCCUUUUAUUUCAUCAUCAAUAGUAUUAUCGGUGGAUUUCUCUAUGCCAAGCAUAUGGGUAAUGAUAUGUGGGAUGUGGCUAUUGAUAGAAGGUACACGAAGCUGGUUGAGAAAUUGCUAAUGUUGAGCAGUAUUAGUGGAAUUGAUGAUCUAAAUGUAAGAUUGUUAGGGUUUCAAUUGACUUGAUCUAAAAUGUCUGGUGGUGGUAUUAGAUCCAAGUAACCACGGAGUGAUGCAUGUUUGCAAGGUAGUUUAUAUUUGAAUCAAGUAGAGAGACAAACACGUCGAUCUGUGUUUGUGUGGCGGCUUCAACGAAAAAGCUGAAUUAGCAGCUAAGAGAGCUUGUCAAACAGAGAAAAGAUGGGUAUACAAAUGGAAAAGUGAUGAAAGUCAUUAUUUUUGAUUGGUUCGCAUGGAUGCAUCACUAUUGGUUUUUGACUAAGGAUGGUAUUGAGUUCUUGAGGACUUAUUUGUAUCUACAAUCUGGGACUGUGCCUAAUAUUUUGAAAGUUUGAAGAAAGCGGAUCAAACUGGUAAAGCACCACAUGGUGCUUUUAUUUACUGCUUACUUGGUCAAAGCAUUUGGUCAAUUGGUAGUGUUCUUGAGUUAAAGUGUUGGUUUCAAAUCUUAAUUUUUGACGUUCUUGUAAUAAGUUAACUAUUUACUGUCCCCAAUCAUGUUUUUGUUGUUCAAAUGCACAUGUUAGAUUAUUUUUUUGUGAUGUGAGAUGUUGUAUCUUAUAAUACCUUGUUUAUGGAAGUUCAUAUUUGUUGCAGAUGACACAAGUAAUAUCCCUGACCAAAUGUCAAUCCGCAACCUGAUCCCGCAGCAGUGGAGAAUUAUCAAUUUGUUCCGUAUUUUCGAUGGCGUAGGCAUUGAGCUGCUGCUAAGUGCAGGUGGAAGUGGAGUCCUUGUUCAACCGAUGUAGAGGUGGAUUCAAGGUUUGAGCAUAGAACUGGCAAGGGACGCAGCUAUGGACCUCCAUACGAAUGACAACCAACGAGUUUGAUUGCUUCCCAGGGAAGCUGCUGGUGUUAAAAUUUCUAGUGGAGCAGCGGAAGCUCCAGCACUAGAAGCUGCAAAGUGAAUGGGACCAACCUGCUGUGUUUGUUCAUGUCAAGUAUGCCAUUUCAACCAAGAUGGAAGUGCUGAAUUUGAGUCUAAGAGGCCCUAAUUACUCAGCUCUUCCUUUUGCUAAGGAUUAAUAUCUCAAGAAUAUGGAGCGCAUAAUCCUGUUGAGCUUAUUCACUUCAAACUGUUUUGUAAAGAUGGACAUAGGAGAAUGACCUGGGCUGCAUAUGUUUUUUAGUUGUAAUUAAAGUUUGGUCACGGUUAUAACUGUAACAAAAAUAGUGAGUAAAAGAAACACAUGUCGUCAUCUCAGAGUUGUUGCAAAUAAGAGUAACAAUUUAACUGUUACAAUAGUCGUAACUGAAGGACUGCACGUGUCCCCCGCUUGUUUGUUGCAAGUACUGAGUAACACUUAUAAUUGUUAGAACAACCGUGGCAAGACUAACACGUGUUACAAUCAUAAAAUUAGUUCAAUUGUGACUAUUAACUAUGUAACGGGUUUUACGUGUGACUGUAUAUGGCUAUUGUCACAGAUAAAACCGUUACAAAACACCAUCACAAUUAUUAAUAACGGCCUAUGUAGUACAGUUAUAACCGUUACAAAUUCAAUCAGUAACAGGUAUAACCCGUGAUAAAAUCCUGGAAAUGGUGUAGUUAUAUCAGCUUUUAUUGUUUAGAGUGGGUCACCAUGGUCUUGGUGAUAUCAAUAGCUAUUAGAUGUGAAUUGUCGGUUAGGAAUUUACAACCAUAUUAUACAUUGUUUGAAG